rnacentral:rRNA from 1 species
CACGUAGGGGGCGAGCGUUGUCCGGAUUUAUUGGGCGUAAAGAGCUCGUAGGCGGCUCGGUAAGUCAGGUGUGAAAACUCUAGGCUCAACCUAGAGACGCCACCUGAUACUGCCGUGGCUAGAGUCCGGUAGGGGAGCAUGGAAUUCCUGGUGUAGCGGUGAAAUGCGUAGAUAUCGGGAGGAACACCAGUGGCGAAGGCGGCUCACUGGUCCGGUACUGACGCUGAGGUGCGAAAGCGUGGGGAGCAAACAGG